rnacentral:rRNA from 1 species
UCAAGUGACUAAGUGCAUGUGGCGGAUGCCUUGGCGAUCACAGGCGAAGAAAGACGCGGCAGCCUGCGAAAAGCUGCGGGGAGCUGGCAAACGAGCUUUGAUCCGCAGAUAUCUGAAUGGGGGAACCCACACCGCAAGGUGUAUCCGUGACUGAAUACAUAGGUUACGGAGGCGAACGAGGAGAACUGAAACAUCUAAGUAUCCUCAGGAAAAGAAAUCAACCGAGAUUCCGGCAGUAGCGGCGAGCGAACCCGGAGGAGCCUAGCUUUUGAUAGUACGAACUUUAGCCGAAAGGUCCUGGAAAGGCCUGCUAUAGUGGGUGAUAGCCCCGUAGGCGAAAGAGUUCGUAUGGUACUAAGGAAGCGAGAAGUAGAGCGGGACACGUGGAAUCCUGUUCGAAGAUGGGGGGACCAUCCUCCAAGGCUAAAUACUCGUGAUCGACCGAUAGUGAACCAGUACCGUGAGGGAAAGGCGAAAAGAACCCCGGGAGGGGAGUGAAAUAGAACCUGAAACCGCAUGCAUACAAACAGUAGGAGCCUCACCAGAGGUGACUGCGUACCUUUUGCAUAAUGGGUCAGCGACUUACAUUCUGUGGCGAGCUUAACCGAAUAGGGGAGGCGCAGCGAAAGCGAGUUCGAAAUGAGCGUCCAGUCGCAGGGUGUAGACCCGAAACCAGAUGAGCUAUCCAUGGCCAGGUUGAAGGUGUGGUAACACACACUGGAGGACCGAACCGACUAGUGUUGCAAAAUUAGCGGAUGAGCUGUGGAUAGGGGUGAAAGGCCAAACAAAUCUGGAGAUAGCUGGUUCUCCCCGAAAACUAUUGAGGUAGUGCCUCGUGUGUCGCUCCAGGGGGUAGAGCACUGUUUUGGCUAGGGGGACAUGGAGUCUUACCAAACCAAGGCAAACUCCGAAUACCUGGAAGCGUAAGCACGGGAGACAGAGCACCGGGUGCUAACGUCCGGACUCAAAAGGGAAACAACCCAGACCGCCGGCUAAGGUCCCCAAUAACAGCUAAGUGGAAAACGAAGUGGAAAGGCCGUGACAACCAGGAAGUUGGCUUAGAAGCAGCCAUCCUUCAAAGAAAGCGUAAUAGCUCACUGGUCGAGUCCUUCUGCGCGGAAGAUGUAACGGGGCUAAGCUGUUAACCGAAGCCGCGGAUGCACUGAUUAUUCAGUGCGUGGUAGGGGAGCGUUCUGUAAGUCUGCGAAGGCGGUUCGAGAGGACUGCUGGAGAUAUCAGAAGUGCGAAUGCUGACAUGAGUAACGUUAAAGCAGGUGAAAAGCCUGCUCGCCGUAAGCCCAAGGAUUCCUGCUCUACGUUCAUCGGAGCAGGGUGAGUCGGCUCCUAAGGUCAGGCCGAAAGGCGUAGCCGAUGGGAAUCAGGUUAAUAUUCCUGAACCUGCGUCAGAUGCGAUGGGGGGACGGAGCAUGAAAGAUCAUCCGGGUGUUGGAUGUCCCGGUUGUUGAGCGUAGGAGGUCUGCAGGCAAAUCCGCAGACGCAUCUCCAAGGCGAAGUCACGUGCCGCCACGGCGGCGAAGUGAUCGGAAGUGCUUCCAAGAAAAGCCUCUAAGCACCAGUCUGGCGCGGACCGUACCGCAAACCGACACUGGUGGGCGAGCUGAAUAUGCUCAGGCGCUUGAGAGAACUCGGGAGAAGGAACUCGGCAAAUUGACACCGUAACUUCGGAAGAAGGUGUGCCGUAGUACCGUGAGAGGAGAGACACCUUGAGCGGGAAUCGGUCUCAGAGAAUAGGUGGCUGCGACUGUUUAUUAAAAACACAGCACUCUGCAAAGUCGAAAGACGACGUAUAGGGUGUGAUGCCUGCCCGGUGCUGGAAGAUUAAUUGAUGGGGUGAGAGCCCUUGAUCGAAGUCCCAGUAAACGGCGGCCGUAACUAUAACGGUCCUAAGGUAGCGAAAUUCCUUGUCGGGUAAGUUCCG